rnacentral:rRNA from 1 species
UGCAAGUCGAGCGAGACCUUCGGGUCUAGCGGCGGACGGGUUAGUAACGCGUGGGAACGUGCCCUUCUCUGCGGAAUAGCCACUGGAAACGGUGAGUAAUACCGCAUACGCCCUUCGGGGGAAAGAUUUAUCGGAGAAGGAUCGGCCCGCGUUAGAUUAGAUAGUUGGUGGGGUAACGGCCUACCAAGUCUACGAUCUAUAGCUGGUUUUAGAGGAUGAUCAGCAACACUGGGACUGAGACACGGCCCAGACUCCUACGGGAGGCAGCAGUGGGGAAUCUUAGACAAUGGGCGCAAGCCUGAUCUAGCCAUGCCGCGUGUGUGAUGAAGGUCUUAGGAUCGUAAAGCACUUUCGCCAGGGAUGAUAAUGACAGUACCUGGUAAAGAAACCCCGGCUAACUCCGUGCCAGCAGCCGCGGUAAUACGGAGGGGGUUAGCGUUGUUCGGAAUUACUGGGCGUAAAGCGCGCGUAGGCGGAUUGGAAAGUUGGGGGUGAAAUCCCGGGGCUCAACCCCGGAACUGCCUCCAAAACUAUCAGUCUAGAGUUCGAGAGAGGUGAGUGGAAUUCCAAGUGUAGAGGUGAAAUUCGUAGAUAUUUGGAGGAACACCAGUGGCGAAGGCGGCUCACUGGCUCGAUACUGACGCUGAGGUGCGAAAGUGU